rnacentral:sRNA from 1 species
CCCGGCUUUGAAAAGCCGGGCUAAAUUCAAUUGCCGCUACGCGGCU